GCUCACAUAGCUCAGACGGUAGAGCGCGUCCUUGGUAAGGACGAGGUCACCGGUUCAAUCCCGGUUGUGAGCUCCA
rnacentral:tRNA from 1 species